AGGCGCGUAGCUCAGUAGGCAGAGCGCUGGCCCGACACGCCAGAGGUCGGCGGUUCAAGUCCGCCCGCGCCUACCA
rnacentral:tRNA from 1 species